UACAGAGGUCUCAAGCGUUGUUCGGAUUCAUUGGGCGUAAAGGGCGCGUAGGCGGCAAGGCAAGUCGGGUGUGAAAGCUUGGGGCUUAACCCCGAAAGGGCACUCGAAACUGCCCUGCUAGAGGGCCGGAGAGGAGAUCGGAAUUCACGGUGUAGCAGUGAAAUGCGUAGAGCUCGUGAGGAAGACCGGUGGCGAAGGCAGAUCUCUGGACGGCCCCUGACGCUGAGGCGCGAAGGCUAGGGGAGCAAACGGG
rnacentral:rRNA from 1 species